UGAAUAAAUCUUCUGUGGGAUAUUGAAACAUGAUUAGGAACAUAACCUAAGGCUGUCAUGGCCUAGCUCACUGUUCUGGACUUUGCUAUUUGAUCAAACUGACCUGUUCUGUGCUGUCUUUCUCCCUCCACAUCUAAUGUGUACUUGGCGUCCUCAAGAUCUGCAGGUUACAGACAAAAGCACUGCCAGUUUAUUUACAAACAACAAACCAAGUUUAAAUGGAGGAACAAAAGCAUACCAGAUGACAAACAGUGAGGUAAGUAAACAGAAAUAUGAAAACAUGUUGACACAAAUUACUUUGAAACAAGUUCAGAUUGUGAUGCUGUGA
rnacentral:lncRNA from 1 species